GAUCUGCUCACUGACACAGAGUUCAACGAGAGAUUUCUAAGACAGAAUCGGAGAUCCUUUCAAGUGGGAUCCUCUUCUCUAGUGAGAUAACCCAUGUACCACAGCUGUGCAGCUUUAAACCCAACCAGCCUAGAGAACAUUUACAUUUAUCUCAUCUUGGCAAAUACUUCUAAAACCUCAUUCGUCAUUGAGGCAGAACCUCUGCUUUGGAAAGUGCUGCCUCUCCACGGGCCAACCGAAAACUCACAGUGUCAUUUUAAGUGGUUCACGGCUAACCCCGAGAAGCUUAUGAAUGGGAUAUUUCAUGGAAGUAUAUUUGGGAGAUGCAAUAAAGUGCCAAGCCUCUGCUAAAAAUUAGUUCUUUAUUCAAAUAUUAUUUUAUUGUUAGC